rnacentral:rRNA from 1 species
CAGCCGCCGCGGUAAUACCGGCGGCCCGAGUGGCGGUCACUAUUAUUGGGCUUAAAGCGUCCGUAGCCGGGUUGGGAAGUCCUCCGGGAAAUCUGGCCGCUUAACGGUCAGAAUGCCGGAGGAUACUCCCAGCCUAGGGAGCGGGAGAGGCCGAGGGUAUUCCCGGAGUAGGGGUGAAAUCCUAUAAUCCCGGGAGGACCACCUGUGGCGAAGGCGCUCGGCUGGAACGCGUCCGACGGUGAGGGACGAAGGCCAGGGGAGCGAACCGGAUUAGAUACCCGGGUAGUCCUGGCUGUAAACGAUGCGGACUAGGUGUCGGGCAAGCUAAGGGCUUGUCCGGUGCCGCAGGGAAGCCGUUAAGUCCGCCGCCUGGGGAGUACGGCCGCAAGGCUGAAACUUAAAGGAAUUGGCGGG